rnacentral:tRNA from 1 species
CUCCUGCUAGCUCAACGGAUGGAGCGGCUCCGUCCUAACGAGACGGAUGGCGGUUCGAAUCCGCUGCGGGAGACGA